rnacentral:rRNA from 1 species
AUUGGACGCUGGCGGCAUGCCUUACACAUGCAAGUCGAACGGUAACAGGUCUUCUGAUGCUGACGAGUGGCGAUAGGGUGAGUAAUGCGUCGUACCGUGCCCGGUCGUGGGGGAUAACGCAGCGAAAGCUGCGCGAAUACCGUAUAGUAUCUGAGGAUGAAAGCGGGGGACCGAACUGCCUCGCGCGAUCGGAGCGGCCGAUGUCAGAUUAGGUAGUUGGUGGGGUAAAGGCACACCAAGCCAACGAUCAGUAGCUGGUGUGAGAGGACAAUAAGCCACACUGCGACUGAGACACAGCCCAGACUCCUACGGGAGGCAGCAGUGGGGAAUUUUGGACAAUGGGCGAAAGCCUGAUCCAGCAAUGCCGCGUGUGUGAAGAAGGCCUUCGGGUUGUAAAGCACUUUUGUCCGGAAAGAAAUGGCUCUGGUUAAUACCUGGGGUCGAUGACGGUACCGGAAGAAUAAGGACCGGCUAACUACGUGCCAGCAGCCGCCGUAA